rnacentral:rRNA from 1 species
CCCAGACAGCCAGGAUGUUGGCUUAGAAGCAGCCAUCAUUUAAAGAAAGCGUAAUAGCUCACUGGUCGAGUCGGCCUGCGCGGAAGAUGUAACGGGGCUAAACCAUGCACCGAAGCUGCGGCAGCGAACGUAUCACUUAAAGCGAUUCAGCGGGUUACGAUUGACGGAGCGAAGCGACGUCAAAGCGUAUACAAAGUCGAGUCGGUUUAAGGAUACGUUCGUUGGGUAGGGGAGCGUUCUGUAAGCCUGCGAAGGUGGCCUGUGAGGGUUGCUGGAGGUAUCAGAAGUGCGAAUGCUGACAUAAGUAACGAUAAAGCGGGUGAAAAGCCCGCUCGCCGGAAGACCAAGGGUUCCUGUCCAACGUUAAUCGGGGCAGGGUGAGUCGACCCCUAAGGCGAGGCCGAAAGGCGUAGUCGAUGGGAAACGGGUUAAUAUUCCCGUACUUGGUGUUACUGCGAAGGGGGGACGGAGAAGGCUAUGUUGGCCGGGCGACGGUUGUCCCGGUUUAAGCGUGUAGGUGUGUGUUCCAGGUAAAUCCGGUUCACUUUAACACUGAGGCGUGAUGACGAGGCACUACGGUGCUGAAGCAACAAAUGCCCUGCUUCCAGGAAAAGCCUCUAAGCAUCAGGUAACAUCAAAUCGUACCCCAAACCGACACAGGUGGUCAGGUAGAGAAUACCAAGGCGCUUGAGAGAACUCGGGUGAAGGAACUAGGCAAAAUGGUGCCGUAACUUCGGGAGAAGGCACGCUGACA